UACCCAGCAACUCCUAUCCCUACCUCCUCGUGGUACCGGCUGGAAACUACGAGCAACCUUAGGGAAGAUCGGGUAACCAACCCCGGUGGGAACUUUGGUCACUUUGGCUGACAGGGAGGG
rnacentral:ribozyme from 1 species